UUGCGAGCUAAGGUUAACCAAUGCUCUUACUAGUUAGCACAAGGUUAACCUGCGUACAAAUAGUGUUUUCCCGUCAAUACACUUUGAAAUGUUCAGUCAUCUGCAGGCAAACAAAAUCCCCUGGUUUGUCAGUCGAUGCGUUUGCAAACUGCAUUGCAACCGAGCCGCCAUGCCAAGUGCGAGCUAAACGGGAGGCUAGCUGGCUAUCUAGCUUAGCCUAUUCACAGCUAACUAAACAACAGCGGCUGCUCAACAUAGCUGCACCAGUCCCCGGUCUCCCUGCUCUGGGCUCUCUGUGUACAUUAGCUCGACAAACGUCACCCGGUCAAGAAAACAAUGUAAAAACAAUCUCACCUCAUUGAAGUAUAAAGUGCAACAGAGUAGAAAGGAAAGCCGGCUGUAAGGCUAAAAUAAUUUCAACGCGUUUGCAGCAUCUACGAGGGGAGGCAUCCGUCCUGCAUGAUCGCCAUUUUCUUAAAUCGCUGUUGGCUAACCUUCUUUCGCUUGAGUUCUGCUUUCCCCUCCUCUCUCUGCAUUCACCUCAGCUCUGGCUUGUGUGUGUUUCUGGAGGGGGGAGACAGAGCAGGAAACGCAUUAACCACUUCCUCUGACUGAGAACCAAACACCAGCGAAAGGUACCUAAAUGGUAUCGAGAGGAUAGUAAAAACAUGUAAAGCAUGUCAACCCUGUUCAAGGUUGCUGCAGUUUUCACCUUCAGUAAUGCCUCCCUUCUUCAUGCACUUUGCCAGUAGGUGAAGUUGUGCCAGAUCCCCAACUCAAAGUUAGGGAGCCAUCUCUGAAAUGGAUUUGCUGUGGCUAAAAUUACACCUGGUCCUCAACCAAUUACCUGAACAUUCAUCCCCCCUUUAGCUGUCAGCGCAUUCACACACAACAAGCUGGAUCCCAACCUAAUCCAUCAAUCGUUUUGCUUGUGAAUU